rnacentral:rRNA from 1 species
UACGGGGGGAGCAAGCGUUGUUCGGAUUUACUGGGCGUAAAGGGCGCGUAGGCGGCCACCGCAAGUCGACUGUGAAAUCUCCGGGCUUAACCCGGAAAGGUCAGCCGAUACUGCGGGGCUAGAGUGCAGAAGGGGCAACUGGAAUUCUCGGUGUAGCGGUGAAAUGCGUAGAUAUCGGGAGGAACACCGGUGGCGAAGGCGGCCUUCUGGUCGGAUACUGACGCUAAAACGCGAAAGCGUGGGGAGCAAACAGG